AUCUCUUACCCUGAUCACUUCAUAUAACAAGAUGUGGAAAUGCUUGGUCCUCAUUGUUGUGUUUCUUGUCUUCCUCCAAGUUUCAGAAGCUGAAGGAUUGGGGCGGUGGCGUCGUCCAGGUUAUGCCCGUUUCAAAACUGUUUGCGAACACAAACAACUCUAUUUACAUUGUGGGAGACAGACGAAUCCAUGUGGUCUCUGCAAUGUAUGGGCGAACUAAUAGACAUACGUGUGGACAUGGGCGUGUAGGAACUACAAGGUGCAAAGCAAGGCAUGCGUCUUUUAAAGUUAAAAGAAGAUGCAAUGGGAAACGAUCCUGUCGUAUCAGAGCUUCUAACGGUGUAUUUGGAGAUCCAUGCGUCGGAACCUUUAAAUACCUGAAAGUUCGCUAUCAGUGCAAACGUAAUCACCGUGGCUGAGUAAAGGAAGAAAUAAGGUGGUGAUAAACGUACCUCAAAAAAAUUAAAAAGAGCAUUUCUUUAAGAAUAUUUACCUCUUUUUAAAAUAAAAGAAGUGAUAGAAAUU
rnacentral:misc_RNA from 1 species